AUGAAGCUAACCUGUGAAGCAGGCAGACUGCAGGGAAUCUUAUCCUUACUUCUCCACCCCCGCCCUGCAAGAAGCCUUAUUGUUUGCAUUUGGCCCACCGCUUGGGAGCCAGCUGCAGGCGCCCGGAGCGGUUCAGGCAGAAGCCCGGGCUCCGUGGGGGAGGCCAGCGGGGCCCCUCCGAGGCUCCUAGCGGGGCCGGAGGGUGGGCCUUCGGAAGAGAACGCGCCGGCGCAGCCCGCGGCCUGCGGAGGUGAGUCGCGUGCCGGGCGUCUUCCGAGGAGCGGCGCGGCCUCGUGCAGGAAGUGGCGUCCGGAAGCCACCGAGCCGGGCGUCCGCGUGGGGGCCCCGGGCCCGCAGGUCCAGGGGGCCUGGUUCGGCUCCGCUCGGGUCCCGCGGCGGUGGGACCCACGUCCUCGGGAGCCACCAGGUCUUGGCCGAGCGGCAGCUCCGAGACAGAGCAUGACACUUGGAUUGAGAACAGCUAAGGACUUGUCAGAGAGCCACUGGGUCAGUCUUCAAGAUGCAGCCGUGUGCCCCUCUGUUCAGGGUUGGUGA
ensembl:lncRNA